UGAGGUGUUGCUCAGUGGAAGCGCACUUGCCUGGCAUGUGUGAGGCACUGGGUUCAAUUCUCAGCACCACAU
rnacentral:tRNA from 1 species